rnacentral:sRNA from 1 species
UAUUCUGCCCCAUGGGGAAGGAUGAGAAGCUUCGACUAAGGUUCGACUCGAGCGCAGCGAGAGAACGUUGCCACAGGCAACGGCCCGAAGGGCGAGGCGCUUUAGCGCCGAGUAAUCCUUCCCCCACCACCA